rnacentral:rRNA from 1 species
GAGCAGGGUCGAAAGACGGACUUAGUGAUCCGGUGGUUCCGCAUGGAAGGGCCAUCGCUCAACGGAUAAAAGCUACCCCGGGGAUAACAGGCUUAUCUCCCCCAAGAGUUCACAUCGACGGGGAGGUUUGGCACCUCGAUGUCGGCUCAUCGCAUCCUGGGGCUGUAGUCGGUCCCAAGGGUUGGGCUGUUCGCCCAUUAAAGCGGUACGCGAGCUGGGUUCAGAACGUCGUGAGACAGUUCGGUCCCUAUCCGUCGUGGGCGUAGGAAAUUUGAGAGGAGCUGUCCUUAGUACGAGAGGACCGGGAUGGACAUACCUCUGGUGUACCAGUUGUCGUGCCAACGGCAUAGCUGGGUAGCUAUGUGUGGACGGGAUAAGUGCUGAAAGCAUCUAAGCAUGAAGCCCCCCUCAAGAUGAGAUUUCCCAACUUCGGUUAUAAGAUCCCUCAAAGAUGAUGAGGUUAAUAGGUUCGAGGUGGAAGCAUGGUGACAUGUGGAGCUGACGAAUACUAAUCGAUCGAAGACUUAAUCAA